rnacentral:tRNA from 1 species
GGAGAUGUAGCUUAGUGGUAAAGUACUUGCCUAGCAUGUGCAAGGUUCUGGAUUCCAUCCCCA